rnacentral:rRNA from 1 species
GACGAAGGGGGCUAGCGUUGUUCGGAAUUACUGGGCGUAAAGCGAGUGUAGGUGGUUGUCCAAGUUGGAUGUGAAAGCCUUGAGCUCAACUCAAGAAAUGCAUUCAGGACUGGGCGGCUAGAGGACCGGGGAGGAUAGUGGAAUUCCCAGUGUAGUGGUGAAAUACGUAGAGAUUGGGAAGAACACCAGUGGCGAAGGCGGCUAUCUGGACGGUUUCUGACACUAAGACUCGAAAGCGUGGGGAGCAAACAGG